UCUUUUUCGACAUGAUGGCUUACAUCAACCAUGUUACUCAAGACCUUCAUCCUCAUCUAGAACAUUAGUUAUUCCAUCCAAAAACAGUCAUUGGGUUUGAGAAGGAAAAAGAGGCUUCAAUGUACGUAGAGUGGCAUCAAGCUCAAAUACCUAGGCUCAGCUCUUUCUCGCCACAUAUCAUAAUAUCUGUGACAUUCUCUUCGGCGAGAUAAUCGUGAAAAUAUUGACUGUGGGGGACACAUUACCUCGGUCGCGCUUUCUCAUUUUAGGAUCAAACACUAAAAAUAUAAUCAUUAUCAGUUUUUCCUUCAACUUAAUAAAUUUAACGCCUAUAUCUUCGUUGUUAUUCC